UUAUUUUUUAUAUUUUUUAUUUUUAUUUUUUUACGAUAAUGUCAAGUUUAAUCUGCCAAAUAUACAAGUUGAACUUGUGGAACAUGUUUUGCCUGGGUGCCACACAGUAAACAGAGGUUUCUUGAAAUGAUCAAUGGGUAGGGUUAAAAAUGGGCACUGGCCUUAGCCAGGUGGGUAGGAACUGGGCAGGGAGGGGCAGAGAGGCGAGGCCUCGAUCAGACAGGACUGACCAGGGACAAGCCAUAACCCUCGAGGACCCAGGGGCACAGGCUCCCAGAUGACAGCCCCUCUCUGAAUGAGCACCUAGGCAACACAGUCCGGGGCUGGGUGUAGCAAACCUGUCAGCAGCUGCCUCCUGGGACAACCACCCCCUUACAUGCUAUCUACCAGAAAAAUGAAAGCUCUUCUUACCCCAUCUCCCAGGCACCCCCCAGCAAGGGCUCUGAAUUCUAAAAACAGCAAAAACAUUCAAAUGGUUACAUGUGAAAUGCUGUCCCUCAUCUUUCUGUCUCAAAGAUAGCAACUGCCCCUCCCCCAGCUCCCCCCACAUCCCCCAAACAAUUUCUGUGCCAAAAUGAAGAGGAGGCCCCAGGCCAUGGGGGGCUCCUGGCCACGAGGGGCUGUUGCGGCGGCGCCAGGGCACAGGGUGGGCGAGACACAGCAGAGGUCCUGGCAGCGCGGCCCAGGUCCCCGGCAUCUCCUCCCAUGGGUCGCGGUUACUUAUACAGGGAGAGCGACUGCAUUCGUUUUCCUGACAAUGUGGCAUCAUCUUUUGCUUUCCUUUCCUCUUCCUUCUUCCGGG
rnacentral:lncRNA from 1 species